rnacentral:rRNA from 1 species
CUGGGAGGACCAUCUCCUAAGGCUAAAUACUCUCUAGUGACCGAUAGUGAACCAGUACCGUGAGGGAAAGGUGAAAAGCACCCCGGAAGGGGAGUGAAAUAGAACCUGAAACCGUGUGCUUACAAGUAGUCAGAGCCCGUUAAUGGGUGAUGGCGUGCCUUUUGUAGAAUGAACCGGCGAGUUACGAUUUGAUGCAAGGUUAAGCAGUAAAUGUGGAGCCGUAGCGAAAGCGAGUCUGAAUAGGGCGUUUAGUAUUUGGUCGUAGACCCGAAACCAGGUGAUCUACCCUUGGUCAGGUUGAAGUUCAGGUAACACUGAAUGGAGGACCGAACCGACUUACGUUGAAAAGUGAGCGGAUGAACUGAGGGUAGCGGAGAAAUUCCAAUCGAACCUGGAGAUAGCUGGUUCUCUCCGAAAUAGCUUUAGGGCUAGCCUCAAGUGAUGAUUAUUGGAGGUAGAGCACUGUUUGGACGAGGGGCCCCUCUCGGGUUACCGAAUUCAGACAAACUCCGAAUGCCAAUUAAUUUAACUUGGGAGUCAGAACAUGGGUGAUAAGGUCCGUGUUCGAAAGGGAAACAGCCCAGACCACCAGCUAAGGUCCCAAAAUAUAUGUUAAGUGGAAAAGGAUGUGGCGUUGCCCAGACAACUAGGAUGUUGGCUUAGAAGCAGCCAUCAUUUAAAGAGUGCGUAAUAGCUCACUAGUCGAGUGACACUGCGCCGAAAAUGUACCGGGGCUAAACAUAUUACCGAAGCUGUGGAUUGUCCUUUGGACAAUGGUAGGAGAGCGUUCUAAGGGCGUUGAAGCAUGAUCGUAAGGACAUGUGGAGCGCUUAGAAGUGAGAAUGCCGGUGUGAGUAGCGAAAGACGGGUGAGAAUCCCGUCCACCGAUUGACUAAGGUUUCCAGAGGAAGGCUCGUCCGCUCUGGGUUAGUCGGGUCCUAAGCUGAGGCCGACAGGCGUAGGCGAUGGAUAACAGGUUGAUAUUCCUGUACCACCUAUAAUCGUUUUAAUCGAUGGGGGGACGC